rnacentral:rRNA from 1 species
UACGUAGGGGGCAAGCGUUGUCCGGAAUCAUUGGGCGUAAAGAGCGUGUAGGCGGCCCGGUAAGUCCGCUGUGAAAGUCCAGGGCUCAACCCUGGGAUGCCGGUGGAUACUGUCGGGCUCGAGUCCGGAAGAGGAGUGUGGAAUUCCCGGUGUAGCGGUGAAAUGCGCAGAUAUCAGGAGGAACACCAAUUGCGAAGGCAGCUCGCUGGGACGUGACUGACGCUGAGACGCGAAAGCGUGGGGAGCAAACAGG